rnacentral:rRNA from 1 species
UACGUAGGGUGCAAGCGUUGUCCGGAAUUAUUGGGCGUAAAGAGCUCGUAGGCGGUCUGUUGCGUCGGCGUGUGAAACCCGGGGCUCAACUCCGGGCCUGCAGCCGAUACGGGCAGACUAGAGUUCGGCAGGGGAGACUGGAAUUCCUGGUGUAGCGGUGAAAUGCGCAGAUAUCAGGAGGAACACCGGUGGCGAAGGCGGGUCUCUGGGCCGAUACUGACGCUGAGGAGCGAAAGCGUGGGAGCGAACAGG